GGCUCAGAUUGAACGCUGGCGGCAUGCUUUACACAUGCAAGUCGAACGGUAGAUUCCCUUCGGGGGAUUGAGAGUGGCGAACGGGUGAGUAAUGCAUCGGAACAUACCCAGUCGUGGGGGAUAACGUAGCGAAAGUUACGCUAAUACCGCAUACGUCCUGAGGGAGAAAGCGGGGGAUCGCAAGACCUCGCGCGAUUGGAGUGGCCGAUGUCAGAUUAGCUAGUUGGUGGGGUAAAGGCCUACCAAGGCGACGAUCUGUAGCGGGUCUGAGAGGAUGAUCCGCCACACUGGGACUGAGACACGGCCCAGACUCCUACGGGAGGCAGCAGUGGGGAAUUUUGGACAAUGGGCGCAAGCCUGAUCCAGCCAUGCCGCGUGCGGGAAGAAGGCCUUCGGGUUGUAAACCGCUUUCAGGUGGAAAGAAAUCGUUCUGGCCAAUACCCAGGAUGGAUGACGGUACCAUCAGAAGAAGCACCGGCUAACUACGUGCCAGCAGCCGCGGUAAUACGUAGGGUGCGAGCGUUAAUCGGAAUUACUGGGCGUAAAGCGUGCGCAGGCGGCUUUUUAAGCCAGACGUGAAAUCCCCGGGCUUAACCUGGGAACUGCGUUUGGAACUGGAAAGCUAGAGUGUGUCAUAGGGGGGUGGAAUUCCGCGUGUA
rnacentral:rRNA from 1 species